CAGUAGCCUCGGGAAAACGAACCGUGCGAACGUUAUUCGGAAUCAUUGGGCUUAAAGCGCGUGUAGGCGGAUGGGAACGUCGGUCGCUGAGAUACCCCGGCUCAACCGGGGAACUGGCAUCGAAACGACCCGUCUCGAGGGGCAUAGGGGGAGCUGGAACUUCCGGUGGAGCAGUGAAAUGCAUUGAGAUCGGAAGGAACGCCCGUGGCGAAAGCGAGCUCCUGGAUGUCUUCUGACGCUGAGACGCGAAAGCUAGGGUAGCAAACAGGAUUAGAUACCCGCGUAGUCCCUGUCUCUAUAC
rnacentral:rRNA from 1 species